GACGAACGCUGGCGGCGUGCCUAAUACAUGCAAGUCGAACGCAGUGGGGACGGGUGAGUAAAACGUGGGUAACCUCCCCAUCAGAGGGGAUAACACUUGGAAACACGCGCUAAACCGAUAUUGAUGGAUGGAACCGGGGGGAAUUAGCUAGUUGGUGGUGGAACGCCUCACCAAGGCGACGAUGCAUAGACGGCCUGAGAGGGUGAUCGGCCACACGGGGACUGAGACACGGCCCAGACUCCUACGGGAGGCAGCAGUAGGGAAUAUUCGACAAUGGGCGAAAGUCUGACCGAGCAACGCCGCGUGAGUGAAGAAGGUUUUCGGAUCGUAAAACUCUGUUGUUAGAGAGGCGGUAUCUAACCAGAAAGCCACGGCUAACUACGUGCCAGCAGCCGCGGUAAUAC
rnacentral:rRNA from 1 species